rnacentral:lncRNA from 1 species
CAUGGGAACUCGGAGUGUUGUGUCCUACACCGCGAUCAUCCAGGGCUGCAACACGAACGGGCGAGCUGAACUUGCUCUGGAGUACUACUCUGCCUUGAGAGCUUGUACCACCAUUCAACCCAACAAUCGGACUCAUGUCGCGGUGAUCAGCACCUGCUCCACACUUGCUACCGAAUCCAGCGAGAAGAGGGAGAGAGCUCUACGCAUCGGGAUGGAGAUCCAUUCAAUGCUGAGCAAGGAGAAGAAACAGCUAGAUCUGUUCGUGGCGACUUGCCUGGUAGACAUGUACUGCAAGUGUGGCGAGCUUGAGGAGGCUCGCAAGAUUUUCCACUCCAUGGGAACUCGGAGUGUUGUGUCCUACAACGCGAUCAUCCAGGGCUGCGGCUCGAACGGGCAAGCUGAACUUGCUCUGGAGUACUACUCUGCCCUGAGAGCUUGUACCACCAUUCAACCCAACGAUCGGACACAUGUCGCGGUGAUCAGCGCCUGCUCCAGACUUGCUACCGAAUCCAGCGAGAAGAGGGAGAGAGCUCUACGCAUCGGGAUGGAGAUCCAUUCAAUGCUGAGCAAGGAGAAGAAACAGCUAGAUCUGUUCGUGGCGACUUGCCUGGUAGACAUGUACUGCAAGUGUGGCGAGCUUGAGGAGGCUCGCAAGAUUUUCCACUCCAUGGGAACUCGGAGUGUUGUGUCCUACAACGCGAUUAUCCAGGGCUGCGGCUCGAACGGGCAAGCUGAACUUGCUCUGGAGUACUACUCUGCCCUGAGAGCUUGUACCACCAUUCAACCCAACGAUCGGACACAUGUUGCGGUGAUCAGCGCCUGCUCCAGACUUGCUACCGAAUCCAGCGAGAAGAGGGAGAGAGCUCUACGCAUCGGGAUGGAGAUCCAUUCAAUGCUGAGCAAGGAGAAGAAACAGCUAGAUCUGUUCGUGGCGACUUGCCUGGUAGACAUGUACUGCAAGUGUGGCGAGCUUGAGGAGGCUCGCAAGAUUUUCCACUCCAUGGGAACUCGGAGUGUUGUGUCCUACACCGCGAUCAUCCAGGGCUGCAACACGAACGGGCGAGCUGAACUUGCUCUGGAGUACUACUCUGCCUUGAGAGCUUGUACCACCAUUCAACCCAACAAUCGGACUCAUGUCGCGGUGAUCAGCACCUGCUCCACACUUGCUACCGAAUCCAGCGAGAAGAGGGAGAGAGCUCUACGCAUCGGGAUGGAGAUCCAUUCAAUGCUGAGCAAGGAGAAGAAACAGC